GAUGAACGCUGGCGGCGUGCCUAAUACAUGCAAGUCGAGCGAACAGACGAGGAUCUUGCUCCUCUGACGUUAGCGGCGGACGGGUGAGUAACACGUGGAUACCCUACCUAUAAUACUGGUAUAACUUCGGGAAACCGGAGCUAAUACCGUAUAACAUCUUGAACCGUAGGGUUCAACAGUGAAAGACGGUCUUGCUGUCACUUAUAGAUGGAUCCGCGCCGCAUUAGCUAGUUGGUAAGGUAACGGCUUACCAAGGCAACGAUGCGUAGACGACCUAAGAGGGUGAUCGGCCACACUGGAGCUGGGCCGCGGUCCAGACUCCUACGGGACGCAGCAGUAGGGAAUCUUCCGCAAUGGGCGAGAGCCUGACGGAGCAACGCCGCGUGAGUGACGAAGGUCUUCGGAUCGUGAAGCUCUGUUAUUGGGGAAGAACAAAUGUGUACGUAGAUAUGCACGUCGUGACGGUACCUAAUCAGAAAGCAACGGCUAACUACGUG
rnacentral:rRNA from 1 species